AGUAACGGCGAGUGAAGCGGCAACAGCUCAAAUUUGAAAUCUGGUCCCCAGGGCCCGAGUUGUAAUUUGUAGAGGAUGCUUUUGGCAGGGUGCCUUCCGAGUUCCCUGGAACGGGACGCCGUAAAGGGUGAGAGCCCCGUCUGGUCGGAUACCGAGCCUCUGUAAAGCUCCUUCGACGAGUCGAGUAGUUUGGGAAUGCUGCUCAAAAUGGGAGGUAUAUGUCUUCUAAAGCUAAAUAUUGGCCAGAGACCGAUAGCGCACAAGUAGAGUGAUCGAAAGAUGAAAAGCACUUUGAAAAGAGGGUUAAAAAGUACGUGAAAUUGUUGAAAGGGAAGCGCCUAUGACCAGACUUGGGCCCGGUGAAUCAUCCAGCGUUCUCGCUGGUGCACUUUGCCGGGCACAGGCCAGCAUCAGUUUGGCGCGGGGGAUAAAGGCUUUGGGAAUGUGGCUCCCUCGGGAGUGUUAUAGCCCAUUGUGCAAUACCCUGCGCCGGACUGAGGUACGCGCAUUUGCAAGGAUGCUGGCGUAAUGGUCAUCAGCGACCCGUCUUGAAACACGGACCAAGGAGUCGUCUUCGUAUGCGAGUGUUCGGGUGUCAAACCCCUACGCGUAAUGAAAGUGAACGCAGGUGAGAGCUUCGGCGCAUCAUCGACCGAUCCUGAUGUUCUCGGAUGGAUUUGAGUAAGAGCAUACGGGGCCGGACCCGAAAGAAGGUGAACUAUGCCUGUAUAGGGUGAAGCCAGAGGAAACUCUGGUGGAGGCUCGCAGCGGUUCUGACGUGCGAAUCGAUCGUCAAAUAUGGGCAAG
rnacentral:rRNA from 1 species